rnacentral:rRNA from 1 species
AAGUCGUAACAAGGUUUCCGUAGGUGAACCUGCGGAAGGAUCAUUAAAGAAUCGCCCCGUUUUUUGAAAUGGGUCCUAUUCCCAAACCGUGUAUACAUACCUUUGUUGCUUUGGCAGGCCGCCUUUUAGGCGUCGGCACCGGCUGACUGCGCCUGCCAGAGGACCCAAACUCUUUUGUUUAGUGAUGUCUGAGUACUAUAUAAUAGUUAAAACUUUCAACAACGGAUCUCUUGGUUCUGGCAUCGAUGAAGAACGCAGCGAAAUGCGAUAAGUAAUGUGAAUUGCAGAAUUCAGUGAAUCAUCGAAUCUUUGAACGCACAUUGCGCCCCUUGGUAUUCCGAGGGGCAUGCCUGUUCGAGCGUCAUUAUAACCACUCAAGCCUCGGCUUGGUCUUGGGGUUCGCGGUUUCGCGGCCCUUAAAAUCAGUGGCGGUGCCGUCUGGCUUUAAGCGUAGUAAUUCUCUCGCUAUAGGGUCCAGGUGACCACCUGCCAUAACCCCCCAUUCUUUACGGUUGACCUCGGAUCAGGUAGGGAUACCCGCUGAACUUAA